rnacentral:snRNA from 1 species
GCAUCUUCUCGGCCUUCGUGGCUAAGAUCAAGUGUAGUAUCUGUUCUUAUCAGCUUAAUCUCUGGUAGUGAGGCCUCAAUGUGCCUCACAACUCAAGAUUAGACUUAUUUCUUGUGGUGCGCCUGGUACCAUGCCCUCCAGCUAUGCUGUGGCAGUCCAGGGAGCAGCGAUCAGCUUCACAUUGCACACCCUGCGAAGUUCUUAAAAUGGUCCACCCUUC